rnacentral:lncRNA from 1 species
GAGGAAGUUGAUAAUGUAUGGUUGGUCACGUCUUAUUUAAGUGAUGCUGACUGCCUUCUUGGUGGUGUUCUACGCCCAGCAAGGCGUCAGAUGAUACCUGAGAUAUACGACGUGGAAAGUGUAGCACAAGCAUUUGCUGCUUCAGUGGCAAUACGUGGGGUACUAUUUGCAAAUUCUAAGCCCUCACCUUCAAGGUGGCACACCAUCCGCCGCCCAAGGCUUUGGCAAGUUGAGCAAUCAUCAAGACACAAUACCAAGCCAUUUAAAUAGCAGUUUGGUAGGUUUUUGUAAACUGACAACCUGAUUGGGAGCUUAUGACCUGAUUAACCUGAUUAAGAAUUGGAUUGGGCUGGGUUUGGGUCAAUCCUACCCAACUACAACCUGACUCAAGUCUAUUAUAUAGUAUAUGGUGCAUAAAUAUUAUACAUUGUAUUAAUAUUUUGUUAUAGGUCUAAUGUUGGAUCUUCAUCUAAUGGUUGGCCUAGUGUGCGUUUCUCUAGAGAUUUGGGAACCAGGAGAGGAGACUUCCCAAGACCCAAAAUCCCAAUCCCCUUGAAAAUCCUAAUCUAAUGUUGGAUCUUCAUCUAAUGGUUGGCCUAGUGUGCGUUUCUCUAGAGAUUUGGGAACCAGGAGAGGAGACUUCCCAAGACCCAAAAUCCCAAUCCCCUUGAAAAUCCUAAUUUCCUUGCUUAGCUGCCAUGAGUCUGUCUCUGGUCCUCCUCUGUUCUGUACCUUUGUGAAGUCUCCCCUCAACCACUAGCAAUCCAUGUGAAACAUUUCUCUCCACGCCAUCCAAUUCUCUUACUUCCUUGAUGUAUAACAGAAAAAAAAGACUCAUGCGCAUCCAAACUCAUUUCUACAUGCAUUCAGUGAAAAUUGUCCUUGAGUGCACCCCUUAGUGUAGUUAGUGGAUCCGAGAUAGUAGAUUAAAUGUUAGGUGGUUUUCCUUGGCUGAUAAUUUGAUUAGAGCCUAAUUAUGAUUGCAGCAUCUUCUAUAUUCGGAUUAGUUGUAAUUCUGCAUUGGUUGUGCUUUUUGUAAUUAAGAGUAUCAUCUCUAGGAUGAUGAAACCACCAUGAUUGGAUCUCUUAAAAUUUGUAGAAUGCUAUGUUCCACUAAUUCACUGUCAGUCUCCACCAUAGUCGGCGGAAUCGUCUCAAACCGCCUGGUUCGGGGUGCGUCAAGUCGUACUGGUGGUGGACCAGGACGGUUCCAACAACCAAAAUGAGAAACUAGCGAUGGAGGGGGAGAAGGAGAAGGAAAGAGAGGAAAAGAGAGAGAGUGUGGAGGGAGGGAGAGGGAAGGAAGGAAGAGAGAGGGAGGGUGGCAGCCGACUGGUGAAGGGCCAAGGAGCCACACGAAGGGGCGGAGGAGAGGCUCCGCCUCCGGUUUUGCCGACUUCACUGAAAAUUUUCGAAAAUAAAAAGAGGCCUCCUUUGGAACCCUUGUUUUGUACGAAGCAGACGAACUGGAGGCGGACCCCCUUCUCCGCCCCUCCGUGCGGCUCUCUGGUCCUCUGUCGACUUCCGCCAAAUGUCCACCACCCUCCUCCUCUCUCCCUCCCUCUGUCCCCCUUCUCUCUCCUUCUCUCUCCCAUUCUUCCUCUCUCCCACCCCCUCUACUGUCGGUAUGGGCCCGGCACAGAACGACAUAGGGGCAUACUGACCCAUGCUGCUAGGCAACCGGUCCGGACCCCGGUUCCGACGCAGCAAUCCUUGGUCUCCGCCAUUGAAGAGCAUAACUAGUAGCUCCCUUCUAUAUUACCACCUUUAUCUGGUGCGAUCACUCUAGCUUUGUUAGCAUUCGGUAUUUUAUUCAUGGCCAAACUAUCAUGAAGUUGUUCAGGUUUCAGUUGGAUUACAAGAUAUCUGUUUAUCGCAGCAAAGGGUCUCCAUCUCCAUGAAUCCCCAUGGUAUGAUUGUUGGAUCAACAUCAAAAUCUAGUAGCUGAUGUUUUCUUUACAUCAUGGUAGGGUUUUUUUGUUUAGAUAGUAUCUUUAAUCAGGCAAUCAUUCUUCAUCCCCGGCUUUUGAAUUUGCAACCCUUUUUCUUUUUCUUCUUCUUUUUUUUGUUUUGAGACUUUUACACCUUUACUAGCAACGGCUCAUUGUAAUCCUUAGUAGUUGAACAUAAUAAAACCUUAUCACCUAUUUUUUGGUGUAAUCAUCAUAUGUUUACUUUGGUAUACUACUCUCCCCUACACCAUUUACCUUCUCUCUGGCCAUGCAUGAACAAAGUAAAAGAAUCAACUUUUGUUGUUUGCCUUUUAUAUUGUAUUUAUUAUCUCUUGGAGGAUCUUAUUCUUUCUUUGCCCUGUGUCUUGAUCAUUUAUCACUUGCUGCUGUGGAACCAGAUUCAUUUGCUUUGCAGGAGAGAUUUGCAAGGAAUCCACUGAAAAUGGAUACUCCAGAGAAAGUUCUUUCUCAGGCACAUGGGCAAGUGCGGCCUAUUGUUGAUUUUCUCCAUGAAAAUGGUAAUACUUCUACCAUUAUCCUGGUUUUCCACUUCAUCGUGUCUAGAAACUUGCUGAGUAUUUACAAUUCAUACUAGAAUAUGUGUUUGCCCUAGUAAAUUAUUUGUGACAAAAUUUUAAUUUUCUUUUUUUGUACAUGCUUGUUAUAUCAUGAAGAGAAAGUGUUGAUUCUUUUAAAUGGCAAUUAGCAAUAGUUCAGCUUUUGUGGAAGUCAUUCUGAUGAAUGGACUCAAAACCAUGUCUUGGAUGGAUUGCUUAGUUAAUUUGAUGAGGUCAUUCACAAUAUGGCAUUCUGUUAUACCAGUGACAAAAUUUGGUUCUCCAAUGUAUGUUGUAGUGAUGGUGCUUGACUUGUUCCUUUCCAAUGCACUGUGUUGUUGUUCAGGAAAUUUCUUUUUGCUAACCUCGAUUGAGUUGUGGAUAGCUAAUUUCUUGGUGUAGGCGAUUAUCAAACUUACUGCUUUUAUUCCAUGCAUGAAAUUAAACAUGAAGUUGAGAAACUUGCGGCAAAGACAACAUUGUGUGUUUGUGAGAGUCUAGAAUAUGAUUUUUGAUCCAUCUAACGGCAAUUUCAAUGUUUCAAUAUUCUGGUCGAAUUUCUAGUGUGGACUUUGUUCUUUGUUGCCAAAGUGUGAACCCUUUUUGGGAGAAAGGGAGGGAAACCCACGCCUACCAUACUUAUCCAGGUCCAGCCUUUUGGGAUUGCACCACCCAACAAUCAAACCUAGAACCUGUGGUUGCUAAUUAGAGGGGUAUUACCACUGGGGCAGGCCCAUAAAUGUAAAUUAUCCCAUAAAAUGCUUGUUAUCUUAAUUUGGACUGCUUAAGGUUGUAAAUUGGUAUUUAAUAUGAGAAAGAAAUUAACCUUGUUACUUCGGUUGCACUCUGAAUGUCAUGAUAUUUAAGUAUCCUUGUAAAUGUAACUAGACCCACGUCUCUUUCUGCAGUUCUCGAUUUUAUCAGUGAUGAGGAAGUUGAUAAUGUAUGGUUGGUCACGUCUUAUUUAAGUGAUGCUGACUGCCUUCUUGGUGGUGUUCUACGCCCAGCAAGGCGUCAGAUGAUACCUGAGAUAUACGACGUGGAAAGUGUAGCACAAGCAUUUGCUGCUUCAGUGGCAAUACGUGGGGUACUAUUUGCAAAUUCUAAGCCCUCACCUUCAAGGUCUCUUUGCUC